rnacentral:lncRNA from 1 species
GACAUAUGGCCAGAGCAUGAAAUAAAAGAUUCACUUCAAAAAGUAAUUCUGAGAAAAUGUAAAAACUGUGACCUUAAUAGUUUAUAUUUAAAGAAAUACAGCCAAAGUGUGAAUAACUACAAGAGACAGAAAAGCAGUUAUAAUUUCUUUCAUCAAUGUUUGUCAACUACCCAGAGCAAAGCCUGUCAAUGUAAUAAAUUUGGAAAGCUUUCCAGGUGUGCUCAAUCCUCAGUGAACAUAAGAAAACUUUUAGCAGAGAGAACUGCUACAAAUGUAAAUAAUGUGGCAGAAACUGUAGGUAGUUCUCAGAUUUUACUAUACAAAUAAUACAUACUGGAGAGAGAUGCUACAGACGUGAAGAAUGUGACAAAGACUGUAAAAAGACCUCAAACCUUCCUGAAUAUAAGAGAGUUCAUACUGGAGGAAAGCCCUACAAAUGUGAAGAAUGUAGCAAAACCUUAACCUGCUCCUCAACCCUUAUUAAACACAAGAAAAAUCAUUCUGGAAAUAAAUCCUACAAAUGCGAAGAAUGUGGAAAAGUCUUUAAAUGCUUCUCAGACCUUUGUAAGAGAAUGCACAGACCUUGCUAAACAUAAGAUAAUUUAUACUGGAGAGAAACCCUAUAAAUGUGAAGAAUGUAACAAAAUCUAUAGGUGGUUCUCAGACCUUCCUAAACAUAAGAUAAUUCAUACUGAAGAGAAACCCUUACAUAUGCAACUAAUGUGGAAAAGCUUUUACAUGGUUCUCAGCCCUUAGUAAACAUAAGAGAAUUUAUACUGUAGAGAUACCCUACCUCUGAAAAAAAAAAAAGACAACGCCUUUACCUGCUCCACAAACUUUACUGACCACAAGAUAAUUCAUAUAGAGGAGAGACCUUACAAAUUUGAACAAUGUGGCAAAACCUUUAAGUGCUUUUCAGACGUUAGUAAUCAUAAGAGAAUGCACACUGGACUGAAACCCUACAAAUGUGAAAAAUGUGGCCAGGCAUUGAUUUCAUUCCAACACCUCAUUAGACAUAAGAGAAUUCAUAGUAGAGAGAAGCUCCAUAAGCAUUAAAAAUGUGGAAAGGCUUUUAGCAAGUCCUCAUACUGUGUUCAACAUCAGAGACUU